UGGAUGGUUGGAUUGGAUCAGGGAGAUGACACGCAGAUGGACAGAUGUUGAUGAAUUGAGAUGUAUUUGGAAUGUAACCAGACAAGAUGGAAAGAGAGAACUAGUCAUACUUCAUUCCCGAGUGUCUGGCUCUGGCAUCUGGGUGGAAGUUGUUGACCUUCACUGAAAAUAGGAAAAUUAGAUGAUGGCGAAUGUGAGGAGCAUCAUCAGAGCCUAAUUUUUGAUAGGUGAAGUCCAAGGAACUUUGAAGACAUCAAAAGGAUAUAGGAGAAGAACACCUCUACAUUCCAGGGAGAGAUAGAAGCAAUACCACUACCAGGCUAUGUCCAAAGGACACAACAGCAUUAAUUGGAGAGGAUAUCUGCAUCCCUGUGUUCACAGCGACACUAUUCACAGUAGCCAAAAUAUGGAAUCAGCCUAUUACAGACAACUAGUGUACUGUUGCGACACUCAGACUGGUGGCCCUGGGAGCCAAAUGGCUGAUUGAGGGCCCCAGGAGGCCACCAUUCCAGAUGACUCUGUGGCUCACCAGUUCUCCUGAAACACUUGCUAAACUGGAACUCUGUAACCAAGAACUGCAACUUUGCACUGCUCCAGUCUGGACAAAGCUGAGAAACCAUAGCCACCUGUAUUCCCAGUAGGAGAUGGAUCUGUUUCAAAGUCUUCAAUGUGGAGAUGGAUCAUUGCUAUGUAAACCUGGAGCCUUCUUUGAUAUGUGAAAUGACUUUUACUUUAUUC